ACGGGUGAGUAACGCGUGGGAAUCUACCCAUCUCUACGGAAUAACGCAUGGAAACGUGUGCUAAUACCGUAUACGUCCUUCGGGAGAAAGAUUUAUCGGAGAUGGAUGAGCCCGCGUUGGAUUAGCUAGUUGGUGGGGUAAAGGCCUACCAAGGCGACGAUCCAUAGCUGGUCUGAGAGGAUGAUCAGCCACACUGGGACUGAGACACGGCCCAGACUCCUACGGGAGGCAGCAGUGGGGAAUAUUGGACAAUGGGCGCAAGCCUGAUCCAGCCAUGCCGCGUGAGUGAUGAAGGCCCUAGGGUUGUAAAGCUCUUUCACCGGUGAAGAUAAUGAUGGUAACCGGAGAAGAAGCCCCGGCUAACUUCGUGCCAGCAGCCGCGGUAAUACGAAGGGGGCUAGCGUUGUUCGGAUUUACUGGGCGUAAAGCGCACGUAGGCGGACUAUUAAGUCAGGGGUGAAAUCCCGGGGCUCAACCCCGGAACUGCCUUUGAUACUGGUAGUCUUGAGUUCGAGAGAGGUGAGUGGAAUUCCGAGUGUAGAGGUGAAAUUCGUAGA
rnacentral:rRNA from 1 species